rnacentral:tRNA from 1 species
AUUUAAGUAGUUUAAUAAGAAUUUUAAUUUGUGGUAUUAAAGGUAAAUUUUUUUCUUAAAUC